rnacentral:rRNA from 1 species
AUUGAACGCUGGCGGCAGGCCUAACACAUGCAAGUCGAGCGGUAGAGAGGUGCUUGCAUCUCUUGAGAGCGGCGGACGGGUGAGUAAUGCCUAGGAAUCUGCCUAGUGGUGGGGGAUAACGUUCGGAAACGGACGCUAAUACCGCAUACGUCCUACGGGAGAAAGCGGGGGAUCUUCGGACCUCGCGCCAUUAGAUGAGCCUAGGUCGGAUUAGCUAGUUGGUGAGGUAAUGGCUCACCAAGGCGACGAUCCGUAACUGGUCUGAGAGGAUGAUCAGUCACACUGGAACUGAGACACGGUCCAGACUCCUACGGGAGGCAGCAGUGGGAAUAUUGGACAAUGGCGAAAGCUGAUCCAGCCAUGCCGCGUGUGUGAAGAAGGUCUUCGGAUU